rnacentral:lncRNA from 1 species
GGAAAAACAGAAUGAAGAAAACUGUUCUCAUCUGCAAAAAAGACAAAAAAAAGCAAUGAGCUCUAUCUGUCCAUAUUUGCUUUUAUAACUUUCCACCUGAUGUCAAAUAAUUUUACUUCUGCCACUUCACAAUAGUUCGUAAGCUGCAUCCUUUUCAAUACUUCCAAUCUUUUGACACUUCAGCUCUUCUUGAAGGAGUACAUUUCAGCUAUGGACAGCUUCUGGCCAAUACAGGUGUUUCUAAUAUAAGAAAUACCUCUUCCCUCCCUCCCUGCCAAGGGCUUAUCUUACCUUCUAUUUCCUUUUAUGGGACCCUGUGUGGACCUUGUAUUUUUCAGACACUUCAGGAACAAUUUGAGUGUAACAUCAUGCCUUUUGAACUGAUUUUUGCCCCUCCAAUAUUUUAGUGAUUACUGAAUGCAGUCAUGACUUGGGAAUAAGAGGGAGUCCCUUGUACAUAAAAUAAGUCUUGUGGAAAGAGUAUGUAAAUAGAUCCAUAAAAAAUGGAUGUUGUACAACCUUGGAAGUUACCAAGGAUCAUUGUGGCCAUUCAGCAAUACCUGUUAUUUGCUACAUCACUUCACCCUAAUCUUUUCUGGUCUGAUCCCAUAACUCAUGAUAUAUACUCCAGGACUCAAAGAUUUUUCACUGGACCCCAACCAUCAAGAAGCCUUUUAGGUGUGGAGUUUUCCAUCUGGAGGAAAAAACGGCCAGAACAUACCGAGUUGAGGGUCUGAGAUUGUAAAUCACAGAAGUCAUCUUGACUAUGAUAGAACCAUUCACCCACCCAGGAUAAGUAGGUAGCAAAUUGAUAUUUUACAUUAAAAGUAAUAUCUUUUAACAAAACACGUUUCAAUGAAUUUUUGGUGUUUUUUUUUUUAAGUGAGGACAAGGAUGGUUAUAGCUAUUUUUACUCUUAAAUUUUUAAAUAUGCAAAUUUCAUAUAAAAAAUAUAAGAAUAUAAGACAAAAUACAAGAAUACAACAUUCCAGAGAAACUUGGAGUUAUCAUAUAUCAAUUCUUAAUUAAUUCUAUCCCCUACCUGCUGAAAAGAAGUUUAGUGUGGGGCAGCCUUGGAUGAGAUCUGGUGUCAGUCAUGUCUUUGAUGAUAACUAUGAUUGGGAGCAGGUCAUUUAACCUUAGAGCAAUUCCUUAUGAUAGGAAGUUAAAGAUGAGGUGGUUAUAGUCUGUGUAAGUAUGCUUUUCAUUGUUUUUUUUCACUAUGUAACACUUCAUUAGAGUCUUACCAUUUGGAUUUUUUUUUUUUUUUUUAAACCUGUUUAUUAUAAAUGGUAGUCAGAGUGGUUAAUGGAUGCAACCAUUCUGACUGGUCUUGAAUUCAAGGCCAAAGUUCAAAUCCUGCAAAUUUAUACAGCUUAAAGGAUGACAAAAGGAAAAUGUUAAUAGAAAAAUUAAGCUUACUCAUAACAAAAUUGAAUUUCCAGUAAGAAGGAAGGUAGGGAAGAGAUCAAGAAGCAAUAUCCAUUGCUUGUUCUAAAGUCCUGUGUCUAUAUUUAAACCAAGAAACUAUUCUAAAAUAUACCAUGAUAAUUGAUGUAAUAUGAUUUUGUGAUCUCUUGAUUUUAGGAGGAGGGUUUCUGUUCUAACAGUAAGUCAGGAAAUCCUAAAUCAUCUGGUUUUGGGAGUCUCCUCGGACUUCCCUCACUUCCAAUCUAAAAACAACAUAUCUAUCUGAUUUUGAAUAGACCACUCCUCAAUUCAGUGCUGACUGUGUGAUAGCUUCUGGCCUCAGGAUAAUCCCAUGGACCAAAUUCCUGAGAUAAUAGUGAUAAUCUGUUGGUCAAUGAGAACCAAAUUACUUCCUACCUAUGAGCCAUAGAAUUAGCAUAUCAAUGCUGGAUAAAUGUGUCUUCUUGCUUUUUCUCUGCUGGAUUCUCUUAGAAUUCUUGUAAUGAAUUAUUACAAUAAAGUUUUGCUCCUUGGCUAAGCAUAUGGGGUCUGCAAGCCUGCAAAUUUUUCUGAGACACCUGGAAAUACCGAUCUAGGAUCCCAAACUUUUCCUCUUUUCCCAAUCUCAAUAAUGUCUUAAAAUUUCAGUAUUUGUAAUGAUGUUACCUGAUAAAAUAGAAUUAAAACUAGAAAAUAUUAGGUAAGUAUUAUACAAUGGUAAAGGGAAAAAUAAACUAAUUUUUCAUAUGCAUCAAAUUAUUCAAUUAAUUUCAUUAAAGAAAAACUAAUAG